UCGAACGGUAACAGGCCUUCGGGUGCUGACGAGUGGCGAACGGGUGAGUAAUGCAUCGGAACGUGCCCAGUAGUGGGGGAUAGCCCGGCGAAAGCCGGAUUAAUACCGCAUACGACCUACGGGUGAAAGGGGGGGAUCGCAAGACCUCUCGCUAUUGGAGCGGCCGAUGUCAGAUUAGGUAGUUGGUGGGGUAAAGGCCUACCAAGCCUGCGAUCUGUAGCUGGUCUGAGAGGACGACCAGCCACACUGGGACUGAGACACGGCCCAGACUCCUACGGGAGGCAGCAGUGGGGAAUUUUGGACAAUGGGCGCAAGCCUGAUCCAGCCAUGCCGCGUGCGGGAAGAAGGCCUUCGGGUUGUAAACCGCUUUUGUCAGGGAAGAAAUCUUCUGGGCUAAUACCUCGGGAGGAUGACGGUACCUGAAGAAUAAGCACCGGCUAACUACGUGCCAGCAGCCGCGGUAAUACGUAGGGUGCAAGCGUUAAUCGGAAUUACUGGGCGUAAAGCGUGCGCAGGCGGUUGUGCAAGACAGGUGUGAAAUCCCCGGGCUUAACCUGGGAACUGCACUUGUGACUGCACAGCUGGAGUGCGGCAGAGGGGGAUGGAAUUCCGCGUGUAGCAGUGAAAUGCGUAGAUAUGCGGAGGAACACCG
rnacentral:rRNA from 1 species